rnacentral:lncRNA from 1 species
GUCAGGUGAACUCUGGUGCUUCUUCAGACCGGAGGUGGGCCUUGGGGCUGAUGCACGCAGUAGGUGAUGGUGUUUCACUCCAGUUUGGCAUGUGUGUUUUGAUUAUGUUGUUUGGAGCAAGUUGGUCGUCUAUGGCCGCUUGUGAACGAUAUGCUCGGCCGCUUCAUUUCAGAACCCUUCUACACGGCUUUUGUUAUAGCUCUGCCUUGCUUUUGGCUGAUGUCAAUCGCUUGGUUUGUCUCAUACGUUCAGCGCUCGACCCUUCUCCAUUCACACCGGACUCGGGUCCUCUCAUUAUGGUUAUUGCCUUUGGUUCUCAAAGGUAACAAAAGGCAAGGCGGUGCUCGGCUUGUCAUUCCCGCCUCGGUGUCUCCUUUUGGUCUAAUUCACUUCCCAUGACCACAUUAGCUUUAGGAGCUCGUGUGGUGGUG